AUAACAUUCGGAAACGAUGCUAUACCGCAUUCUCGACCGCAUGGUUCUUGAACGAAAGACGGCUUCGGCUGUCGCUCUUAGAUGAUCCGCGGCGUAUUAGUUAGUUGGUGGGGUAAAGGCCUACCAAGACAAUGAUACGUAGCCGACCUGAGAGGGUGAUCGGCCACACUGGGACUGAGACACGGCCCAGACUCCUACGGGAGGCAGCAGUAGGGAAUCUUCCACAAUGGACGAAAGUCUGAUGGAGCAAUGCCGCGUGAAUGAAGAAGGUCUUCGGAUCGUAAAGUUCUGUUAUUAGAGAAGAACAAGUCGAGGAGUAAC
rnacentral:rRNA from 1 species